UUUCGACUUGCAGGGUCCUCCGUUGCUUUAAAUAGGAAACCCUAUUGAUGCGGAGCAUAAUGAGGACGGAAAACGGAGAAAUUAAGUGUUUAAUCUUAAUCACAAAAUGUGUUUUGUAAUAUCAUAUCGUUUUAUAGCGAUUUAUAAGGUGUGUGCGCUUAAACGUUUUUUAAAGACAUUUCUUCCACUCGCGAGGCAGACCAGACGAGGACGUUUCUUUUUAAAAGGGAAACGCCGAAAGUUAAGUGUUUUAUCUCAUUUGUAUGUAUUUCACAACAUCAUAUUGGUUUAUAGUGAUAUUUGUAUGAUGUGCACUCCUAAACUUUUCCUCAGGAAAUUGGUUUUAUCAAGGAAAACACCGAAAAUGCAUUUGAAUGGCUAUGCACUGAAGUGGAAGCCACUUUUAACAGGGGAAACAUAAGAAAUGGUUCAUGCUGGCUUAACAGAAAAAUCGAAAGGAGAUGAUGUGCUUGAAGAGUAUGAAGCCACCAAUACAUUAAGUGGGAUGAGAAGAGCUUUGUUAGGACACAUAACAGAGACAUGGGAGCUAAAUGUAAACAAAGAGGAGGGUCUACACAGAUCUGACACAAUCUAAUCAAUUCAGACUGCAGAAGAAACGAUUCAGUCUUCCAGUGAACACACUGCACUGCACAAU